rnacentral:rRNA from 1 species
AGUGAACGCUGGCGGUAGGCCUAACACAUGCAAGUCGAACGGCAGCACAGUAAGAGCUUGCUCUUACGGGUGGCGAGUGGCGGACGGGUGAGGAAUACAUCGGAAUCUACUUUUUCGUGGGGGAUAACGUAGGGAAACUUACGCUAAUACCGCAUACGACCUACGGGUGAAAGCAGGGGAUCUUCGGACCUUGCGCGCCUCAAUGAGCCGAUGGCGGCUUGGCUAGUUGGCGGGGUAAAGGCCCACCAAGGCGACGCUCCGUAGCUGGGCUGAGAGGGCGGUCAGCCAGACUGGAGCUGAGACACGGUCCAGACUCCUACGGGAGGCAGCAGUGGGGAAUAUUGGACAAUGGGGGCAAGCCUGAUCCAGCCAUACCGCGUGGGUGAAGAAGGCCUUCGGGUUGUAAAGCCCUUUUGUUGGGAAAGAAAAGCAGCAGGUUAAUACCCCGCUGUUCUGACGGUACCCAAAGAAUAAGCACCGGCUAACUUCGUG